AUCGCUUCUCGGCCUUUUGGCUAAGAUCAAGUCUAGUAUCUGUUCUUAUCAGUUUACUUUUACUAGAGAUCUCUAUUUCUCAUGUCUUCAAGUUACUGUCUAGUGUCCUACAUUUUAACUUAAAGGACUCCAUUUAAUAUUUCUUAUAGGGCAGGGCUAGUGGUAAUGAGCUCCCUGAGCCUUUGUUUAGCU